rnacentral:rRNA from 1 species
UACGUAGGGGGCAAGCGUUGUCCGGAUUUAUUGGGCGUAAAGAGCGUGUAGGCGGCCUGAUAGGUCGGUUGUGAAAACUGGAGGCUUAGCCUUCAGACGUCGGCCGAAACCAUCUGGCUAGAGUCCGGAAGAGGAGAGUGGAAUUCCUGGUGUAGCGGUGAAAUGCGCAGAUAUCAGGAAGAACACCCGUGGCUAAGGCGGCUCUCUAGUACGGUACUGACGCUGAGACGCGAAAGCGUGGGGAGCGAACAGG